UUUAAAGGGCCGCGGUAAUUUGACCGUGCGAAGGUAGCAUAGUCAGUAGUCUUUUAAUUGAAGGCUUGAAUGAAUGGUUGGACGAGGGGUAGACUGUCUCCUUUACAUCGUUUAGAAUUUAACUUUUGAGUGAAAAGGCUCAAAUUGUUUAGUGGGACGAUAAGACCCUAUAAAACUUGAUAUAGGUAAGGCUUGGCCUGUAAUUGUAGGUUAAAAAUUGUUUUGCUUGGCUUAUAUUUUGUUGGGGAGAUGUAGAUAUAAUGUGUAACUGUCUGUUGAAUUUAAUAGUUAUAAUUAGUGUGUGAUCCUUCAUUUGUGGAUUAGGAGAAUAAGUUACUUUAGGGAUAACAGCGUGAUUUUCUUUGAGAGUUCUUAUCGACAGGAGUAGUUGCGACCUCGAUGUUGAAUUAAAGUUUCAGCUGGGUGUAGACGUUUGGCUGGUGGGUC
rnacentral:rRNA from 1 species